rnacentral:rRNA from 1 species
UACGUAGGGAGCAAGCGUUGUCCGGAAUCAUUGGGCGUAAAGCGCGCGUAGGUGGCCUCAUAAGUCCGCUGUGAAAGUCAAAGGCUCAACCUUUGAAAGCCGGUGGAUACUGUGAGGCUAGAGUACGGAAGAGGCGAGUGGAAUUCCUGGUGUAGCGGUGGAAUGCGCAGAUAUCAGGAGGAACACCAAUAGCGAAGGCAGCUCGCUGGGACGUUACUGACACUGAGGCGCGAAAGUGUGGGGAGCGAACAGG